AACGAACGCUGGCGGCAUGCCUAACACAUGCAAGUCGAGCGCCUGUAGCGAUACAGGAGCGGCGCACGGGUGAGUAACGCGUGGGAACCUGCCUUGAGGUUCGGGACAACCGCGGGAAACUGCGGCUGAUACCGGAUGAUGUCUGAGGACCAAAGAUUUAUCGCCUUGAGAGGGGCCCGCGUCGGAUUAGGUAGUUGGUGGGGUAACGGCCUACCUAGCCUGCGAUCCGUAGCUGGUCUGAGAGGAUGGCCAGCCACACUGGGACUGAGACACGGCCCAGACUCCUACGGGAGGCAGCAGUGGGGAGUAUUGGACAAUGGGGGCAACCCUGAUCCAGCAAUGCCGCGUGGGUGGUGAAGGCCUUCGGGUUGUAAAGCCCUUUCGGCGGGGACGAUGAUGACGGUACCCGCAGAAGAAGCCCCGGCUAACUUCGUGCCAGCAGCCGCGGUAACAC
rnacentral:rRNA from 1 species